rnacentral:rRNA from 1 species
AUGCCUAACACAUGCAAGUCGAACGGUCACUUCGGUGAUAGUGGCGGACGGGUGAGUAACGCGUGAGAAUCUGCCUCUUGGUUGGGGACAACAGUUGGAAACGACUGCUAAUACCCAAUGUGCCGUAAGGUGAAAGAUUUAUUGCCAAGAGAGGAGCUCGCGUCUGAUUAGCUAGUUGGCGGGGUAAAGGCCCACCAAGGCAUCGAUCAGUAGCUGGUCUGAGAGGAUGAGCAGCCACACUGGGACUGAGACACGGCCCAGACUCCUACGGGAGGCAGCAGUGGGGAAUUUUCCGCAAUGGGCGAAAGCCUGACGGAGCAAUACCGCGUGAGGGAGGAAGGCUCUUGGGUUGUAAACCUCUUUUCUUAGGGAAGAACAAAAUGACUGUACCUAAGGAAUAAGCAUCGGCUAACUCCGUGCCAGCAGCCGCGGUAAUACGGAGGAUGCAAGCGUUAUCCGGAAUUAUUGGGCGUAAAGCGUCCGUAGGUGGUUUUUCAAGUCUGCUGUCAAAGACCGUGGCUUAACCACGGAAAGGCAGUGGAAACUGAGAGACUAGAGUUCGGUAGGGGUAGCGGGAAUUCCCAGUGUAGCGGUGAAAUGCGUAGAUAUUGGGAAGAACAUCGGUGGCGAAGGCGCGCUACUGGACCGAAACUGACACUCAGAGGACGAAAGCUAGGGGAGCGAAAGGGAUUAGAUACCCCUGUAGUCCUAGCUGUAAACGAUGGAAACUAGGUGUGGCUUGUAUCGACCCGAGCCGUGCCGAAGCUAACGCGUUAAGUUUCCCGCCUGGGGAGUACGCACGCAAGU